GGCAGGCUGCAGCGCUUACAGACAGGGUCGCUGCGGGGCGGGCUGGGCCAGCAGAGGCCAGUGCCCCACUGCAGCUAGCUCGAAGAGGCACCAGGUUUCUGGGAGUGAAGGACGCUACUGCUCACCGCCUUCUUCCUGGCUGCUCUGUCAUUUCAGGGGAAGUGAAAGUGAAAGUGAAACUAGACGGAGCCAGCUCCUGGUCCUGCCUCCAGACAGCUCCGGCAGCUGUGGGGCACAGGCAAAGUGGGACAGAGCUCUUGGCUGUCUGGCCUCUGGGAGAGCAGGAACCUGGGGCCCGUUCCCCGGAGGGUGGACCACAGCUCGCCACAAAACUCCACAGGAGCUAAACCAGAUGUGGUCAUAAAUUCUUUUUUUAAAUUGAGGUAAAAUUCAUAUAACAUUAAAAAAACCAUUUUCAAGUGUACCAUUCAGCGGCAUUUUGUGUCCGCACAAUGUUGUGCAGCCACUGCCUCUGUGUAGUUUCGAAACGUUUCCAUAACCUACAGAAGAACACCCCCACCACGGUAAAUAAUCACUUCGUCCCCUACCCUGAACCCCUGGCAAAUACUUAGAUUCUGUCUCCAGGGUUUUACAUAGUCUGGAUAUUUCUGUGAAAACAAUCAUACAAAUCGUGACCUUUGAUAUCUGCUCUCUUUCCCUCAGCAUGUAUUUGAGUUUCAUCCAAAUUAUAGCAGGUACAGUCCUCAUUCCUUUUUAUGGCUGAAAAAUACUCCAUCGUACAGCUUAUGACGCUUUGUUGAUCCAGUCACCUGUUGAUGGACAUUUGACUCGUUUCCACCAUUGGGUCAUUAUGAAUAGUGCUGCCAAGAUCAUUCUGGAACAUGUAUUUGAGUAUUUGCUUUCAAUUCUUUGGGGUAUAUACCCAGGAGUCGAAUUCCUGGGUUGUACGGUAAUGUUUAAUUUUUUGAGGGACCAACAGCUGUUUUCCACCAGCAGUGUACAAAAUUCCGAUUUGUCCACACUGUAGCCAACACGGGUUUUUCUUUAAAAAACAAAAACAAAACGUAUACCCAUCCUAAAGAAUGUGAAGUAGUAUGUAAUUUUUUUUCAUUCAGUAAACAUUUACUGGGUGUGUCAUAUGUACUAGGUACAGAAAUCAGGGCCUGACUGUCUUCUUGUGACUGGCUUAUUUCACUUAGCAAGUAUCUUCGAGGUCCAUCCAUACUGUAACAUAUUACAGAACUUCCUUCCUUUUAAAAGCC
rnacentral:lncRNA from 1 species